AGUGAAUAGAUACCCAGGUAGUCCCAGCCGUAAACGAUGCUCGCUAGGUGUCAGGCAUGGCGCGACCGUGUCUGGUGCCGCAGGGAAGCCGUGAAGCGAGCCACCUGGGAAGUACGGCCGCAAGGCUGAAACUUAAAGGAAUUGGCGGGGGAGCACAACAACGGGUGGAGCCUGCGGUUUAAUUGGACUCAACGCCGGACAACUCACCGGGGGGCGACAGCAAUAUGUAGGCCAAGCUGAAGACUUUGCCUGAAUCGCUGAGAGGAGGUGCAUGGCCGUCGCCAGUUCGUACUGUGAAGCAUCCUGUUAAGUCAGGCAACGAGCGAGACCCGUGCCCACUGUUACCAGCAUGUCCUGGUACGA
rnacentral:rRNA from 1 species